rnacentral:lncRNA from 1 species
CUGAGACUACACCCUAUCCUGCAUGUCGUCACCUGCAGCUGUUUCCAGGCUCCAAGAAUGGAUUGGCAGAGGAUGGGCCUUCCCCCCCAUCCCCCCACCCCCUUUAUAAGCACAGUUUUCUAUUAACAUUUGAGCUUUGAUCAGGAACCUUGGCUUAGCUCCAUUUUUCUCUCGAUUGCCUAGUUCCCCUCUCUUUUUCAGCCCCAGCUUGCCUCCCAGGUGAAGCUGGUCUAUGUGAGCCUCGGGACAGCUUCCAACAGUCGGCGCCUGGACCAGGGACCUGAAGAAUCACAGAAAAACGCUGGAGGAAUGCUGCUUGGUGUGGAGCUCCACGGGAAGAAAAGAAUCAGAGAAAAGAAUCGUAUCGGGGCAUGGUAAACAACAGAUGAGAAGGAAAACCUGUGAAGAAUCCUCGUUUGCCCUCUUCUGACUUAGGCUCUGGCAAAACCUCUCAGGAGACAGCUAUAUCAGGCUCCUAUCUGCAACCACUUCUUGGCAUCCAUAAUAGUGUCUGAGUUUGGUGUCUAUAUAUGGGAUGGAUCUCCAGGUACUAAAGGCAUAACAAGACUGAGAAAAUGACUUGCCAUGUCUUCUGUAAAGCUGAGAUCUUGGUGGUAGGCAGAUGAUCAAGAAUCAACAGUGAAAAAAAAUCAGUGUUGACCGUUUCUGGAGGUGAACAUGGCAGAGAAUCAAGAAAAAAGCAGCAGGCCACAGACUUUGCCCAGUAUAAUGGCUGUGUUAGGAAAUAAUGCGACACAAGAAUGACCAACUAAUGAAGUGAGAUGUGAAGUCACUGCGGUUUCAAGACAAAUAUAUCACUUCCUAAUAAUUCAGAAUAUGUUUGAAUAGAGAAUAUGUGAAUAUAUGCCUAAGAUUUUACUGACAGUUCUUGCAUAUUUUUAAAAAUGUCUCUAGGUUUCAUGCAUUUCACACACACACACACACACACACACACACACACACAUACACACACACACACACACACCUUAGUAGGCAUGACUAAAUAGAGCACAUGGGCAAUAUGAGUUUUAAAACAAGUCUUAUUUAUAGACUCAUGAAACUGGCUCUUAUAGAAGUAGUCAUGAGAUCCAGCUUUCUCCCUACUGGCUAGUAGCAUAGUAGCAUACAGGAUGCUAGAUAGUGGUGGCUGUCAAUAGUCUUAUCCAGCUGUGAACCCAUUGAGCUCCAGAUGAUAAGACCUACUCCACUGGAGGAAACUCAUAACUGAUGCUAUAAAUAUGCCAAAGAACCCAUAGAUUUAGAUUUUAUAGCCCCUGGACCAGACAUACUACUAUAUUCUACAAAAUGGACAUAAUCCACAUGCAUCAUAGAAAUAGCACCUCAUACUUCUGGGA